rnacentral:rRNA from 1 species
CUGGUGCCAGCAGCCGCGGUAAUUCCAGCUCCAAUAGCGUAUAUUAAAGUUGUUGCAGUUAAAAAGCCCGUAGUUGAACUUCAGGCCUGGUGGGGUGGUCCGCUUAACGGCGUGUACUGCUCUGCUGGGUCUUACCUCUUGGUGAGCCGGCGUGGCCUUCACUGGUUGCGUCGGGGAACCAGGACUUUUACCUUGAGAAAAUUAGAGUGUUCAAAGCAGGCCUAUGCCUGAAUACAUUAGCAUGGAAUAAUAAAAUAGGACGUGCGGUUCUAUUUUGUUGGUUUCUAGAGUCGCCGUAAUGAUUAAUAGGGAUAGUUGGGGGCAUUGGUAUUGAGUCGCUAGAGGUGAAAUUCUUGGAUUGACUCAAGACCGACUACUGCGAAAGCAUUUGCCAAGGAUGUUUUCAUUAAUCAAGGACGAAGGUUAGGGGAUCGAAAACGAUCAGAUACCGUUGUAGUCUUAACAGUAAACUAUGCCGACUAGGGAUCGGGCGACCUCAAAUUUGAUGUGUCGCUCGGCACCUUACGAGAAAUCAAA